GUGAGGAAUUUUCCGCAAUGGGCGAAAGCCUGACGGAGCAAUGCCGCGUGAAGGAUGAAGGCCUAUGGGUUGUAAACUUCUUUUCUUAGAGAAGAAUAUUGACGGUAUCUGAGGAAUAAGCAUCGGCUAACUUCGUGCCAGCAGCCGCGGUAAUACGAAGGUCCCAAGCGUUGUUCGGAAUCACUGGGCGUAAAGGGAGCGUAGGCGGCGUGGUAAGUCAGAUGUGAAAUCCCGGGGCUCAAACCCGGAACUGCAUCCGAUACUGCCAUGCUUGAGGGUUGGAGAGGUAGCUGGAAUUCUCGGUGUAGCAGUGAAAUGCGUGGAUAUCGAGAGGAACACUCGUGGCGAAGGCGAGCUACUGGACAACAUCUGACGCUGAGGCUCGAAGGCCAGGGGAGCAAAAGGGAUUAGAUACCCUGGUAGUCC
rnacentral:rRNA from 1 species